AUAGUUUAUUGGAUGUUUACGUUCCUACAUGGACACCUGCGGUAAUUCUGGAGCUAAUACAUGCACAAGCCGACGACCUUACGGAAGUCGCGCAUUUGUUAGAUCAAACCAAUCGGUCCUCCGGGACCGUAAUUUGAUGACUCUGAACAACUUAGCUGACCGCACAGUCUCGUACUGGCGGCAUAUCUUUCAAGUGUCUGCCUUAUCAACUUUCGUUGGUAGUUUAUACGACUACCAAGGUUGUAACGGGUAACGGAGAAUAAGGGUUCGACUCCGGAGAGGGAGCCUGAGAAACGGCUACCACAUCCAAGGAAGGCAGCAGGCGCGCAAAUUACCCACUCGCAGAACGCGGAGGUAGUGACGAAAAAUAACGAGGUGGCUCUCUAUGAGGUCCAUCAUCGGAAUGGGUACAAUUUAAAUCCUUUAACGAGGAUCUAUUGGAGGGCAAGUCUGGUGCCAGCAGCCGCGGUAAUUCCAGCUCCAAUAGCGUAUACUAAAGUUGUUGCGGUUAAAAAGCUCGUAGUUGGAUCUGCGCUCUGUGAGAGCGGUCGCUCGCUGAGUUGUACUGUCUCUCACGGGCUAACCAUUCGGUUUUCCCUUGAUGCUCUUCAUUGAGUGUCCUGGGUGACCGAAACGUUUACUUUGAAAAAAUUAGAGUGCUCAAAGCAGGCGAUUUGCCCGAAUAUUCGUGCAUGGAAUAAUAAAAGAGGUCCUUGUAGCCUUUUAUUGGUUAUCGCUACGAGGAAAUGAUCGAAGGGGACAGACGGGGGCAUUUGUAUUGCGACGUUAGAGGUGAAAUUCUUGGAUCGUCGCAAGACAAACUACUGCGAAAGCAUUUGCCAAGAAUGUUUUCAUCAAUCAAGAACGAAAGUCUGAGGUUCGACAGCGAUCAG
rnacentral:rRNA from 1 species